UGGGGAAUAUUGGACAAUGGGCGAAAGCCUGAUCCAGCAAUUCCGCGUGUGUGAAGAAGGCCUUCGGGUUGUAAAGCACUUUAGUGGGGGAAGAAACAGCUUGGCCACACCAAGCCUUGACGGUACCCCAAGAAUAAGCACCGGCUAACUCUGUGCCAGCAGCCGCGGUAAUACAGAGGGUGCAAGCGUUAAUCGGAUUUACUGGGCGUAAAGGGUGCGUAGGUGGUUUUGUAAGUCGGAUGUGAAAGCCUGGGGCUCAACCUCAGAAUUGCAUUCGAUACUGGGAAACUAGAGUUCGGUAGAGGGCGGCGGAAUUUCCGGUGUAGCGGUGAAAUGCGUAGAUAUCGGAAGGAACAUCAAUGGCGAAGGCAGCCGCCUGGGCCUGGACUGACACUGAGGCACGAAAGCGUGGGUAGCAAACA
rnacentral:rRNA from 1 species